rnacentral:rRNA from 1 species
UCAUUAAAUCACACCUAAUAUACUGGAUAGUAUCUGUCACUUGGACAACUGCGGUAAUUCUGGAGCUAAUACAUGCGCACAAGCCCCGAACUUGCGUGAGGGGCGCUUUUAUUAGAUCAAAACCAAACGGCUUCGGUCGUUAGUUUGGUGAUUCUGAAUAACUUUGGGCUGAUCGCAUGGCUUUACGCCGGCGACGUAUCUUUCUAAGGUGUGCCCUAUCAACUGUCGACUGUGGCAUAGACGCCCACAGUGGUUUUGACGGGUAACGGGGAAUCAGGGUUCGAUUCCGGAGAGGGAGCCUGAGAAACGGCUACCACUUCUAAGGAAGGCAGCAGGCACGCAAAUUACCCACUGGUCGAAGACCGAGGUAGUGACGAAAAAUAACGAUACCGGUCUCAUCCGAGGCCCGGUAAUCGGAAUGAGUACACUUUAAAUCCUUUAACGAGGAACAAUUGGAGGGCAAGUCUAGUGCCAGCAGCCGCGGUAAUUCUAGCUCCAAUAGCGUAUAUUAAAGUUGUUGCGGUUAAAAAGCUCGUAGUUGGAUCUCGGCGGGAAGGAGGCGGUUCGAUAUUUGUCGCUACUGCCUCAUUUUCCCGUGUUGGUGACGGAGGUUCCAGGGUGCUCUUAAUCGAGUGUCCUGGGAUGCCGUCAGGUUUACUUUGAAAAAAUUAGAGUGCUCAAAGCAGGCUUAACACGCUUGAAUAUUCGUGCAUGGAAUAAUGGAAUAGGAUGUCGUUUCUAUUUUGUUGGUUUUCGGAAAUCGACAUAAUGAUUAAUAGGGACAGUUGGGGGCAUUAGUAUUCAGACGACAGAGGUGAAAUUCUUGGACCGUCUGAAGACUAACUACUGCGAAAGCAUUUGCCAAGAAUGUUUUCAUUAAUCAAGAACGAAAGUUAGAGGUUCGAAGGCGAUCAGAUACCGCCCUAGUUCUAACCAUAAACGAUGCCAGCUAGCGAUCCGCAGAUGUUAUUUUUUUAGGCUCUGCGGGAAGCUUCCGGGAAACCAAAGCUUUUGGGUUCCGGGGGAAGUAUGGUUGCAAAGCUGAAACUUAAAGGAAUUGACGGAAGGGCACCACCAGGAGUGGAGCCUGCGGCUUAAUUUGACUCAACACGGGAAAUCUCACCAGGCCCGGACACUGGAAGGAUUGACAGAUUGAGAGCUCUUUCUCGAUUCGGUGGGUGGUGGUGCAUGGCCGUUUUUAGUUGGUGGAGUGAUUUGUCUGGUUAAUUCCGAUAACGAACGAGACUCUGUCCUGCUAAAUAGUUCCAACGUCUUUAUUGCGUUGGAAUUUCUUCUGAGAGGGACUGGCGGCGUCUAGCCGCACGAGAUUGAGCAAUAACAGGUCUGUGAUGCCCUGAGAUGUUCUGGGCCGCACGCGCGCUACACUGAAGGGAUCAGCGUGUUU